GCAGUGGUAGCUAGGUGGUGGAGUUCUCGCCUUCCACACGGGAGACCCGGGUUCAAUUCCCAGCCAAUGUA
rnacentral:tRNA from 1 species